GUGAGGAAUAUUGGUCAAUGGACGAGAGUCUGAACCAGCCAAGUAGCGUGAAGGAUGACUGCCCUAUGGGUUGUAAACUUCUUUUAUAAGGGAAUAAAGUGAGGGACUUGUCCCUUUUUGUAUGUACCUUAUGAAUAAGGAUCGGCUAACUCCGUGCCAGCAGCCGCUGUAAUACGUAGGAUCCAAGCGUUAUCCGGAUUUAUUUGGUUUAAAGGUAGCGUAGGUUGACAUAUAAGUCAGCUGUGAAAGUUUACGGCUCAACCGUGAAAUUGCAGUUGAUACUGUAUGUCUUGAGUGUACAAGAGGUGGGCGGAAUUCGUGGUGUAGCGGUGAAAUGCUUAGAUAUCACGAAGAACUCCAAUUGCGAAGGCAGCUCACUGGGGUAAAACUGACACUGAGGCUCGAAAGUGUGGGUAUCAAACAGGAUUAGAAACCCGUGUAGUCC
rnacentral:rRNA from 1 species